AACGAACGCUGGCGGCGUGCCUAACACAUGCAAGUCGAGCGAUUCUCUUCGGAGAAGAGCGGCGGACGGGUGAGUAACGCGUGGGUAACCUGCCCUAUACACACGGAUAACAUACCGAAAGGUAUGCUAAUACGGGAUAAAAUGCUUUUGUCGCAUGGCAGAAGUAUCAAAGCUCCGGCGGUAUAGGAUGGACCCGCGUCUGAUUAGCUAGUUGGUAAGGUAAUGGCUUACCAAGGCGACGAUCAGUAGCCGACCUGAGAGGGUGAUCGGCCACAUUGGAACUGAGACACGGUCCAAACUCCUACGGGAGGCAGCAGUGGGGAAUAUUGCACAAUGGGCGAAAGCCUGAUGCAGCAACGCCGCGUGAGCGAUGAAGGCCUUCGGGUCGUAAAGCUCUGUCCUCAAGGAAGAUAAUGACGGUACUUGAGGAGGAAGCCCCGGCUAACUACGUG
rnacentral:rRNA from 1 species